GAUGAACGCUGGCGGCGUGCCUAAUACAUGCAAGUCGAGCGAACAGACGAGGAGCUUGCUCCUCUGACGUUAGCGGCGGACGGGUGAGUAACACGUGGAUAACCUACCUAUAAGACUGGGAUAACUUCGGGAAACCGGAGCUAAUACCGGAUAACAUGUUGAACCGCAUGGUUCAACAGUGAAAGACGGUCUUGCUGUCACUUAUAGAUGGAUCCGCGCCGCAUUAGCUAGUUGGUAAGGUAACGGCUUACCAAGGCAACGAUGCGUAGCCGACCUGAGAGGGGGAUCGGCCACACUGGAACUGAGACACGGUCCAGACUCCUACGGGAGGCAGCAGUAGGGAAUCUUCCGCAAAGGGCGAAAGCCUGACGGAGCAACGCCGCGUGAGUGAUGAAGGUCUUCGGAUCGUAAAACUCUGUUAUUAGGGAAGAACAAAUGUGUAAGUAACUAUGCACGUCUUGACGGUACCUAAUCAGAAAGCCACGGCUAACUACGUG
rnacentral:rRNA from 1 species